rnacentral:rRNA from 1 species
CACGUAGGGUGCGAGCGUUGUCCGGAAUUAUUGGGCGUAAAGAGCUCGUAGGCGGUGUGUCGCGUCGGCCGUGAAAACCUGCAGCUUAACUGUGGGCUUGCGGUCGAUACGGGCAUCACUGGAGUUCGGCAGGGGAGACUGGAAUUCCUGGUGUAGCGGUGAAAUGCGCAGAUAUCAGGAGGAACACCGGUGGCGAAGGCGGCAUCCUGGACCGGCAUUGACGCUGAGGAGCGAAAGCCAGGGGAGCAAACGGG